CAUGCAAGUAUCCGCACCCCAGUGUAAAUGCCCCUCCCCGUCCCACAAAUUGACAAGCAGGGAGCUGGUAUCAGGCACACCACAGUAGCCCAAGACACCUUGCAUCCGCCACACCCCCAAGGGUACUCAGCAGUAAUUAACAUUAAGCAAUAAGCGAAAGCUUGACUUAGUUAUAGCAACACCUACCAGGGUCGGUAAAUCUCGUGCCAGCCACCGCGGUCACACAAGAGACCCAAACUAACUGUACACGGCGUAAAGAGUGGAACCGCCUCAUCUCUUAACCAACUAAGGUUAAAAUAUACCCAAGCCGUCAUAAGCCUACGAUAUACUAAAACCCACCAUCAAAACGACCUUAGAAACCCCUAGAUGAACAAACCCCACGAAAGCCAGGACUCAAACUGGGAUUAGAUACCCCACUAUGCCUGGCCCUAAAUCCUGAUGUUCAAUUAUUACAAGAACAUCCGCCAGGGAACUACNAGCGCAAACGCUUAAAACCCUAAGGACUUGGCGGUGCCCCAAACCCACCUAGAGGAGCCUGUCCUAUAACCGAUAACCCACGAUACACCCGACCAUCUCUCGCCCAAACAGCCUACAUACCGCCGUCGUCAGCCCACCUCUUGAGAGCAUAACAGUGAGCUUAACAGCCCCCACCCGCUAAAAAGACAGGUCAAGGUAUAGCCCAUGAGAUGGAAGAGAUGGGCUACAUUUUCUAACAAUAGAAAAUCCACGAAAGGGGGCAUGAAAACACCCCCUGAAGGCGGAUUUAGAAGUAAAAAAGGAACCAUAAAGCCUUCUUUAACCCGGCCCUGGGACACGUACAUACCGCCCGUCACCCUCCUCAUAAGCCACAACCCCCACAAACUUAUACCCCUCUAAAG
rnacentral:ncRNA from 1 species